UGGGGAGUCGUCUAGUGGUAGGACAGCAGACUCUGGAUCUGUAUGCGAAGGUUCGACUCCUUCCUCCCCAGCCA
rnacentral:tRNA from 1 species